rnacentral:pre_miRNA from 1 species
ACCACGGGUCUGUGACGUAGCAGCGCUGCGGGUCCGCUGU